ACGCAGCGAAAUGCGAUACCUAGUGUGAAUUGCAGAAUUCCGUGAAUCAUCGAGUUUUUGAACGCAAGUUGCGCCCGAGGCUCGUCCGAGGGCAUGCCUGCCUGAGCGUCCGC
rnacentral:rRNA from 2 species